CUCCAGCAUGAAUUCCCACAAGGAAAAUUUCCUCAACUCGCACUUGAAUCCGACCAACAGAAAUUCCCCAAAAUUCACCCAAAAACUCAGAAAAAGAAAAACCUUCAAGAACAGGAGGGGAGACUAAGCAACUAGGAGAUGGAUUAAGCACACAAAUCAAGAUCUUGAUACAAGGCUAGGAAGCCACCCUCAUCCUCCCAAUCUUUAUUUCACAUGAAGCCCCUAUCUAGCAUAACGAGAAGGAAAAAC
rnacentral:lncRNA from 1 species